rnacentral:rRNA from 1 species
UACGGAGGGAGCUAGCGUUGUUCGGAAUUACUGGGCGUAAAGCGCGCGUAGGCGGCUUUGUAAGUUAGAGGUGAAAGCCCGGGGCUCAACUCCGGAAUUGCCUUUAAGACUGCAUCGCUUGAAUCCGGGAGAGGUGAGUGGAAUUCCGAGUGUAGAGGUGAAAUUCGUAGAUAUUCGGAAGGACACCAGUGGCGAAGGCGGCUCACUGGACCGGUAUUGACGCUGAGGUGCGAAAGCGUGGGGAGCAAACGGG